UACGUAGGGUGCAAGCGUUGUCCGGAAUUAUUGGGCGUAAAGAGCUCGUAGGCGGUCUGUCGCGUCUGCUGUGAAAACCUAGGGCUUAACUCUGGGCGUGCAGUGGGUACGGGCAGACUAGAGUGCGGUAGGGAGACUGGAAUUCCUGGUGUAGCGGUGAAAUGCGCAGAUAUCAGGAGGAACACCGGUGGCGAAGGCGGGUCUCUGGGCCGAUAUUGACGCUGGAGGAGCGAAAGACCGUGGGGAGCAAACAGG
rnacentral:rRNA from 1 species